rnacentral:lncRNA from 1 species
CUCACCUUCGACUACAACAUGCACGGUACCUGGCACACCUGUUCUUACCUGGCACACACCUGGCACACACCUGUACCUGUCACACACCUGGCACACACCUGGCACACACCUGUACCUGUCACACACCUGGCAUACACCUGUCCCUGCCCUCAGGCCCAUCCGCGCUGGGGAGGAGCUCACCUUCAACUACAACAUGCACGGUACCUGGCACACACCUGUACCUGGCACACACCUGUACCUGUCACACACCUGGCACACCUGUACCUGGCACACCUGGCACACACCUGGCACACACCUGUAUGUGUCCAUAUCACACACCUGUACCUGCCCUCAGGCCUAUCCGGGCCGACGAGGAGCUCACCUUCGACUACAACAUGCACGGUACCUGGCACACCUGUUCUUACCUGUUACACACCUGUCACUCCUGUACCUGUCACACCUAUCCAUAUCACACACCUGUACCUGUCACACCUGGCACACACCUGUACCUGUCACACCUAUCCAUAUCACACACCUGUACCUGGCACACCUGGCACACACCUGGCACACACCUGUAUGUGUCCAUAUCACACACUUGUACCUGCCCUGAGACCCAUCCGUGCUGGGGAGGAGCUCACCUUCGACUACAACAUGCACAGUACCUGGCACACACCUGUACCUGGCACACACCUGUACCUGGCACACCUGUAUCUGUCACACCUAUCCAUAUCACACACCUGUACCUGUCACACACCUGUCACAUACCUGUCCCUGCCCUCAGGCCCAUCCGUGCCGGGGAGGAGCUCACCUUUGACUACAACAUGCACGGUACCUGGCACACACCUGGCACACACCUGUACCUGUCACACCUGACACACACCUGUACCUGUCACACCUGUACCUGUCACACCUGGCACACACCUGUACCUGUCACACCUGGCACACACCUGUACCUGUCACACCUGUACCUGUCACACCUAUCCAUAUCACACACCUGUACCUGGCACACCUGUACCUGUCACACCUAUCCAUAUCACACACCUGUACCUGCCCUCAGGCCUAUCCGUGCCGGGGAGGAGCUCACCUUCGACUACAACAUGCACGGUACCUGGCACACACCUGGCACACACCUGUCC